UUAUUCAGCCUCAAUAUCAGUUUCAUAUCAAAACAAAUUACACCCUAAAUUAAAUAUCAAACCCAAAUUGAACAUUAAUUCAGCCAAGUUCAUCAGUUUCAUAACAGAAUAAAUUAAACCCUAAAUUCAAACCCAAAAUCAGUUGCAUAAUAUACACAAUAUUCAAAAUAUUCAAAAUCUAACACAAUUAAUUGAAUAUAGAAAUUGUUUACUUGAAUGCUAAAGAUAUGAGGGAGGAGAUACCCACGACGUUAUCGCCGAUACCCAAGACGUCCCCGGAAAGCCAAAGUCAACCUCGACAGAGAGAGGAAGAAGGCUUGAACUGUGGGGACGAAGGUUUGACCCUUAUAUCGAUCUAUAUACUGUGUGCGUGAGAGAAAGGACGUCGUCGGCGAGAGGGCGAGAGGGCGAGGGAGCGACGGAGGGAGGAGGUUCCGGACAGAGAGAGUGAGGAACUAGGAAAUUUCGUCGUCGCUAGAGAGAUACUCCCUCAGUUCCGUUCCAUAUUAACUGACCUUAUACUCAAUUUUUUUGUUCCCAAAUAUUGUACUCCUCUCUCUCCUUCCUAUUAGUCCUAACGAAAAUUAAAGACUUGAAAUUCUCUCCUUCUCCUUACCGGAGUAUGAAAAAUUAAAGACUUAAAAAUUCUCUCUUUCCGAUUGGACUCCUUUAUCUUUUUAUGUAUAUCCGUGCAAUUCUCUCUCUCCUUCCUAU
rnacentral:lncRNA from 1 species